AUGCACGCUGGCGGCGUGCCUCAUACCUGCCAGUCGAGCGAACGGACGAGAAGCUUGCUUCUCUGAUGUUAGCGGCGGACGGGUGAGUAACACGUGGAUAACCUACCUAUAAGACUGGGAUAACUUCGGGAAACCGGAGCUAAUACCGGAUAAUAUUUUGAACCGCAUGGUUCAAAAGUGAAAGACGGUCUUGCUGUCACUUAUAGAUGGAUCCGCGCUGCAUUAGCUAGUUGGUAAGGUAACGGCUUACCAAGGCAACGAUGCAUAGCCGACCUGAGAGGGUGAUCGGCCACACUGGAACUGAGACACGGUCCAGACUCCUACGGGAGGCAGCAGUAGGGAAUCUUCCGCAAUGGGCGAAAGCCUGACGGAGCAACGCCGCGUGAGUGAUGAAGGUCUUCGGAUCGUAAAACUCUGUUAUUAGGGAAGAACAUAUGUGUAAGUAACUGUGCACAUCUUGACGGUACCUAAUCAGAAAGCCACGGCUAACUACGUG
rnacentral:rRNA from 1 species